GGAGAACCCCGCCUUCUACCAGAAAAAGAAGCGACUUCCUAGAUCUCCCGGAAGUCCCUUUCGCUCCCAGCGCUUCGCGUACCAGGAAGGGGACGGCGUCCUGAAAGGGACAUUUGAAAAACGGAGGCAACGCGUCUAUUAAUUAGGUGGCGGCGCCUGGGGUCGCAGCACUCCAGAGGCUGAGAGUCUCGCCCUUUUGCCUAGUGGAGGAGCUCGGCUCACUGCAAGCUCCGCGCCACAACCCCCCUGCCGCCCCAGGUUCAAGAGAUUCUCCUGCCUCAGUCUCCCGAGUAGACUGGGAUUACAGGCGAGUGCCACCAUGCCCGGCUAAUUUUUGUAUUUUUGGUAGAGACGGGGUUUCAUUAUGUUGGCCAGGCUGAUCUCGAACUCCUGACCUCAAGUGAUCCGCCUGCCUUGGCCUCCCAAAGUGCUGGGAUUACAGGCGUGAGCCACAACGUUGGGCCAGAAUGCUGGGGUGGAAGAGUUCCCAGUUUUAAAGGAGAAGUACAAGAAGACCUGUAAUUGUUAGCAAGAUAUACAGAACACAGUGCACACAGCAGCGCACUUCUCAAGUCAGCUCCAGGUUCAAGCUCAAAGGCCUAAAGUUUUGCAAACAUCUGGUGAAGAGGAAGAUUUUUGAGACUCUCCCAGCCUAUUACAUAAAGGAAACAUAACCGAGAAUUUUGUCUAAAGGUUUUCAUUUGAAACAAAGCAAGAGCUUCUUUUCCCCACUCCGAAUUAAAACACAGCGCAACAGGGGCCACAUUUAUUUGGCAGGACAGUACCAAUAUGUGAACAUCCUCCUCCUCACUGCCGUUGGGGUGACUUGACUCAUAAGCAGCUGUUCUUACACAAAAUAUUAACCCGAACUGCUAGUGUCACACAGAAGGAAGUGGUCUUGAUUGUGUAUGUGGGCCAGCAUGUUCUACAAAUGCUGAAAGGUGGGAGAAGCACAAAUACAACCCACUCUUUAAAAAAACUAAAUAAUUCAAAGUAAAAUUUUCUAUCCCCGCCCCCUCCCCACCCUUGCCUUCUCCAAUAAUAAAAAGUAGAAUCCAGAUUUGGUUUGUAUCCUGACCAUUCACAAAGUGUCGUGCCACAGCACUUGCAUCAUUAGGGUUAUGGAUGAUCACAGUUCAUUUGCUUUGAAGAGACGUGUGUCUGCUCCUUCCUCCUCUUCUUGCCUUCAUGCUCAUGUUCUCUGGGGCAGCUGCUGAGGGUCUUUGAGGGCCACCAUGCUGUCUGGCUUCUUCCAAAAAUGUGUCCAAAUC
rnacentral:lncRNA from 10 species